GACGAACGCUGGCGGCGUGCCUAAUACAUGCAAGUCGAACGCAGUGGGGACGGGUGAGUAACACGUGGGUAACCUCCCAUCAGAGGGGAUAACACUUGGCAACAGGUGCUAAACCGAUACUGAUGGAUGGACCCGCGGUGCAUUAGCUAGUUGGUGAGGUAACGGCUCACCAAGGCCACGAUGCAUAGGCGCCCGGGGAGGGUGGUCGGCAAAACUGGGACUGGAAACAGGCCCAGACCCCCACGGGGGGCGACGGGAGGGAAUGUUCGGCAAUGGGCGGAAGUCUGACCGAGCAACGCCGGGUGAGAGAAGGAGGUUUGCGGAGCGUAAAGCUCUGUGGUUAGAGAAGCGUUAACAAACCAGAAAGGGACGGCUAACUACGUGCCAGCAGCCGCGGUAAUAC
rnacentral:rRNA from 1 species